rnacentral:rRNA from 1 species
AAGUGACUAAGCGUACACGGUGGAUGCCUUGGCAGUCAGAGGCGAUGAAGGACGUAUUAACUUGCGAUAAGCCCAGAUUAGGCAGUAAAAGCCACUUGAGUCUGGGAUUUCCGAAUGGGGAAACCCAACUGCAUAAGCAGUUACUGUUAACUGAAUACAUAGGUUAACAGGGCGAACCGGGGGAACUGAAACAUCUAAGUACCCCGAGGAAAAGAAAUCAACCGAGAUUCCGAAAGUAGCGGCGAGCGAAAUUGGACUAGCCCUUAAGCUUUACACGCGUUAGACGAACGGUCUGGAAAGUCCGACGAUACAGGGUGAUAGUCCCGUAGUUGACGACGUGUGUUCAGUGAAAUCGAGUAGGGCGGGACACGUGAUAUCCUGUCUGAAUAUGGGGGGACCAUCCUCCAAGGCUAAAUACUACUGACUGACCGAUAGUGAACCAGUACCGUGAGGGAAAGGCGAAAAGAACCCCUGUGAGGGGAGUGAAAUAGAACCUGAAACCGUGUACGUACAAGCAGUAGGAGCAGGCUUUGUCCUGUGACUGCGUACCUUUUGUAUAAUGGGUCAGCGACUUAUAUUCAGUGGCAAGGUUAACCAUCUAGGGGAGCCGUAGGGAAACCGAGUCUUAACUGGGCGUUCAGUCUCUGGAUAUAGACCCGAAACCAGGUGAUCUAGCCAUGGGCAGGUUGAAGGUUGAGUAACAUCAACUGGAGGACCGAACCGACUAAUGUUGAAAAAUUAGCGGAUGACUUGUGGCUAGGGGUGAAAGGCCAAUCAAACCUGGAGAUAGCUGGUUCUCCCCGAAAGCUAUUUAGGUAGCGCCUCGGACGAAUACUACUGGGGGUAGAGCACUGUUAAGGCUAGGGGGUCAUCCCGACUUACCAACCCUUUGCAAACUCCGAAUACCAGUAAGUACUAUCCGGGAGACACACGGCGGGUGCUAACGUCCGUCGUGGAGAGGGAAACAACCCAGACCGCCAGCUAAGGUCCCAAAUUACUACUAAGUGGGAAACGAUGUGGGAAGGCUCAG